rnacentral:lncRNA from 1 species
AGUUUACUCUCCAUCAAUAAACCCAGCCUCCCCCAUUGUUACCACCGAGACCUCAGUCAUGCCCCGCUGCCCUCUCGCCCUUCCUUUCAAAGGAUGACUAGAGAGACUCAGUCUCAAAAUCAAAAACCAGGUUCCUCCUGGAGAGCCACCAGUAGCUGCAGUGUAUCAUCCAGAUGCAGGUUCCGCUUCCCAGACCCUGGCGCCUUCCUCUCUCCUGUUACCCUCAGGUCCCACUUUGCAAGGAUGAGACAAUGAAGAACUGGCUUUUGACUCAUCUUUCUUUUUUUUUUUGAGCUGAGGACCGAACCCAGGGCCUUGCACUUGCUAGGCAAGUGCCCUACCAUUGAGCCAAAUCCCCAACCCCUAGACUCAUCUUUCUUAAUCCUUACAUUGUACUUCUAAAAAAUUCAGCAAGAGGGCUAAGACAGAUGGAUCGGGGGUUACAGUAGGGGUUAAGUCCUAUCUCUCCACCGUGCACCAGGGAUCAAAGUCAAGGUCAUGAACUUGGGUAAGCCACCUUACCAGCCCUACAGUAUACAGUCUUUAAUGAGGUGAUCUGGAUGCUCUGUAAUCCCAGCCUCCUGGAGGUGUAGAGGUAGUUGGAAUGUUGGGAGUUGGAGGGCAGCCUGGCUAUGUUGUAAUACCUUGUCUCAAAAUAAGUAUUAAAAGAAAAUCCCAGGGCUGGAGAUAUGGCUCAGCGGUUAAGAGCACUGACUGUUCUUCCAGAGGUCCUGAUUCAAUUCCCAGCAACCACAUGGUGGCUCACAACCAUCUGUAAUGGGGAUCCCCUCUUUUGGUGUGUCUGAAGAGAGCAACAGUGUACUCACAUACAUGAAGUAAAUAAAUAAAAUCUU